ACAGGUGCUGCAUGGCUGUCGUCAGCUCGUGUCGUGAGAUGUUGGGUUAAGUCCCGCAACGAGCGCAACCCUCGCCUUUAGUUACCAUCAUUUAGUUGGGUACUCUAAAGGAACCGCCGGUGAUAAGCCGGAGGAAGGUGGGGAUGACGUCAAGUCCUCAUGGCCCUUACGCGCUGGGCUACACACGUGCUACAAUGGCAACUACAGUGGGCAGCAAUCCCGCGAGGGUGAGCUAAUCUCCAAAAGUUGUCUCAGUUCGGAUUGCACUCUGCAACUCGAGUGCAUGAAGGCGGAAUCGCUAGUAAUCGCGGUUCAG
rnacentral:rRNA from 1 species